rnacentral:rRNA from 1 species
GACGAACGCUGGCGGCGUGCUUAACACAUGCAAGUCGAACGGAAAGGCCCUGCUUUUGUGGGGUGCUCGAGUGGCGAACGGGUGAGUAACACGUGAGUAACCUGCCCUUGACUUUGGGAUAACUUCAGGAAACUGGGGCUAAUACCGGAUAGGAGCUCCUGCUGCAUGGUGGGGGUUGGAAAGUUUCGGCGGUUGGGGAUGGACUCGCGGCUUAUCAGCUUGUUGGUGGGGUAGUGGCUUACCAAGGCUUUGACGGGUAGCCGGCCUGAGAGGGUGACCGGCCACAUUGGGACUGAGAUACGGCCCAGACUCCUACGGGAGGCAGCAGUGGGGAAUAUUGCACAAUGGGCGGAAGCCUGAUGCAGCAACGCCGCGUGCGGGAUGACGGCCUUCGGGUUGUAAACCGCUUUCGCCUGUGACGAAGCGUGAGUGACGGUAAUGGGUAAAGAAGCACCGGCUAACUACGUGCCAGCAGCCGCGGUGAUACGUAGGGUGCGAGCGUUGUCCGGAUUUAUUGGGCGUAAAGGGCUCGUAGGUGGUUGAUCGCGUCGGAAGUGUAAUCUUGGGGCUUAACCCUGAGCGUGCUUUCGAUACGGGUUGACUUGAGGAAGGUAGGGGAGAAUGGAAUUCCUGGUGGAGCGGUGGAAUGCGCAGAUAUCAGGAGGAACACCAGUGGCGAAGGCGGUUCUCUGGGCCUUUCCUGACGCUGAGGAGCGAAAGCGUGGGGAGCGAACAGGCUUAGAUACCCUGGUAGUCCACGCUGUAAACGGUGGGUACUAGGUGUGGGGUCCAUUCCACGGGUUCCGUGCCGUAGCUAACGCUUUAAGUACCCCGCCUGGGGAGUACGGCCGCAAGGCUAAAACUCAAAGGAAUUGACGGGGCCCCGCACAAGCGGCGGAGCAUGCGGAUUAAUUCGAUGCAACGCGUAGAACCUUACCUGGGUUUGACAUGGAUCGGGAGUGCUCAGAGAUGGGUGUGCCUCUUUUGGGGUCGGUUCACAGGUGGUGCAUGGCUGUCGUCAGCUCGUGUCGUGAGAUGUUGGGUUAAGUCCCGCAACGAGCGCAACCCUUGUUCACUGUUGCCAGCACGUUAUGGUGGGGACUCAGUGGAGACCGCCGGGGUCAACUCGGAGGAAGGUGGGGAUGACGUCAAGUCAUCAUGCCCCCUAUGUCCAGGGCUUCACGCAUGCUACAAUGGCUGGUACAGAGAGUGGCGAGCCUGUGAGGGUGAGCGAAUCCCGGAAAGCCGGUCUCAGUUCGGAUUGGGGUCUGCAACUCGACCUCAUGAAGUCAGAGUCGCUAGUAAUCGCAGAUCAGCAACGCUGCGGUGAAUACGUUCCCGGG